UGAGGAAUAUUGGGCAAUGCCCGAAAGGGUGACCCAGCAACGCCGCGUGGAGGAUGAAUGCCGUAAGGUUGUAAACUCCUGUUAGAGGGGAAGAACAAUCCCGAUCGACUCGGGAUCUGACUGUACCCUCAGAGAAAGCCCCGGCUAACUACGUGCCAGCAGCCGCGGUAAUACGUAGGGGGCAAGCGUUGUCCGGAUUUACUGGGUGUAAAGGGCGCGCAGGUGGGUUUGCAAGUCAGAGGUGAAAUCUCACGGCUUAACCGUGAAAGUGCCCUUGAUACUGCAAAUCUUGAGUUCGGAAGAGAGAGACGGAAUUCCAGGUGUAGUGGUGAAAUACGUAGAUAUCUGGAAGAACACCAGUUGCGAAGGCGGUCUCUUGGUCCGAUACUGACACUCAGGCGCGAAAGCGUGGGUAGCAAACAGGAUUAGAUACCCUGGUAGUCCACGCUGUAAACGAUGAAUACUAGGUGUUGGCCCUUUUAGGGUCAGUGCCGCAGCUAACG
rnacentral:rRNA from 1 species